CAGGGGGCCGGCACGGCCGUUCAGGAAGCCGGCCUCAGUCCCCCCAGGCUCUCGGGAGAAAGAGGGGCGGUCCUUCUCAACCUCGGCCACGCCUCCACCUCGCUGGGGUCCUUAGUCUUGCAGCCUGAAGGCUGCUCAGGCUCAACUAGAGACGACCCUCCGCUUUCCUGCCUGGAGGGUGCAGAUCUAGUUGUGAAUGACUGGGAGCUGAAUGGAGGAAGAGGACUCAGCAUCAAAUAAGCACUUUACACGCCGGGGACCCAAAAAACGUGGCAUUUGACAAGAAGGAGGAACAUGAGUGACCUGGAAGCAAGAGGAUGCUUCUGGAGGUUGUGCUCUACUAAAAUGAGGGACUAAACAGAAAAAAAGAAGACACAGGAUGUAAGUAACAAGACACAAUGCAAGAAAAAAAUGAUUUUUGAGAGGCCCUGACGACAGUUCUUCACUGGACAUGGAUUGGUGCAGGUCCAGAAGGCCCCAGAA